CUGGGUGUGGCGCAGUUUGGUAGCGCGCGUGGAUGGGGUCCACGAGGCCGCAGGUUCAAUUCCUGUCACUCAGACCA
rnacentral:tRNA from 1 species